AAUGUUGUCGUGCAAUGCUUGUCGCUAAAUUACGUGCUUUUUAAUGCCAUUUGUCUUGUUAUAACACACUGUAAUACUCCACAGCAAGCAAAAAAUAAAAUAAAACCAUUAGUAAUUUGAGCAAGUGGCACCUCCGAGGCUGUGUCAAUGCAACCGUCUUUCCUUCACCUCAGGAUAUGAAUUUGUGUGUGUGGAUACACACCGUGUGUGUGUGUGUGUGUGUGUGUGUGUGUGUGUACAGUCCCUGCAACACACACUGACAGGAAUGGUACAUCACUGCAGGCCUACACGUCCCCGUGGGUGCCGUGAGGACACAGGCGUGCACCACACGGCUGCCUGGCGGCCCAGGGGUGAGGCUCGUGUUGUCUGGCGUGGACGAGAGGCUGCUGGAGGAGGCGGCCCAGAUAGCACAGCUCCUGCAGCCCACACAGCGCCCAUACCACAGCAUCAGCUUCCCCGGCAGCAGCAUGAAGGCAGAUGCGUGGCGGCGCUGCCUUCACAAGCUGGCCAAUGCCGGCGUCACGGUGGAUGGUGGUGGUUUUGGUGCUGGUAUUGGAGCACCGGACACCAGCCCCAUCACGGAGGAGGAGCAGAGGGAGCUGCACACCCUUGCCAGCACCACGAUGUUAGGUGCCUUCACCAGACAGCCUGAAGAGGACCUGUGGCUGUACUAGUAAUCCCCGUGACGGCCAGACUCAUCGGUGCUGGAAGUGCAUCCACUCACGAGGCAAACACCUGGGCUGCAUUUAUCCUACUGCAUUGUGUGUGUACAAGUCUACAGUGUGGCGCUCUCUCUCUCUCUCUCUCUCUCUCUCUCUCUCUCUCUCUCUCUCUCUCUCUCUCUCUCUCUCUCUCUCUCUCUCUCUCUCUCUCUCUCUCUGAUGAUUGAAAAUUAUAUU